CCGCCCUUCAGUGCUGCAGCUAACGCAUUAAGCAUUCCGCCUGGGGAGUACGGCCGCAAGGCUGAAUCUCAAAGGAAUUGACGGGGGCCCGCACAAGCGGUGGAGCAUGUGGUUUAAUUCGAAGCUACGCGAAGAACCUUACCAGGUCUUGACAUACUAUGCAAAUCUAAGAGAUUAGACGUUCCCUUCGGGGACAUGGAUACAGGUGGUGCAUGGUUGUCGUCAGCUCGUGUCGUGAGAUGUUGGGUUAAGUCCCGCAACGAGCGCAACCCUUAUUAUCAGUUGCCAGCAUUAAGUUGGGCACUCUGGUGAGACUGCUGGUGACAAACCGGAGGAAGGUGGGGAUGACGUCAAAUCAUCAUGCCCCUUAUGACCUGGGCUACACACGUGCUACAAUGGAUGGUACAACGAGUUGCGAACUCGCGAGAGUAAGCUAAUCUCUUAAAGCCAUUCUCAGUUCGGAUUGUAGGCUGCAACUCGCCUACAUGGAAGUUCGGAAUCGCUAGUAAAUCGC
rnacentral:rRNA from 2 species